UUCACAUUCAAGCAGAAGCUGGGGUGUAAGGGAAAGACUUCCUAUUCAAAGGUCAUGAUCUGGUUAGCUCCCCCCCUUCCUUCAAUUUGGAUGCAACACCCUUUAGCUGCCUACAAAUAACGUACAGUAGAACCGCAUUAUUACCAACACCAGAGUUACGAACUGACCGGUUAACCACACACUUCAUUUGGAUUUGACAAGGAAGAGUUUUGAUUUGAAGACUUCACCCAUGGUUCUUUUUUUUUUUCCUUUUUUCUCCUAACAAUAUAUACAAUGGAAGACGUUGAUUUCUUUUUUCUGCUUUUUGUAAGUUUCUGUACAACAGAUGAGUUCAAUUUGAUGCUUGUAAAUACCAUCUACAGAUUUCCAGUGGUCCUCUGUGGAGGGAACAAACAAAACCAUGGGACCUUCACCUCAGCCAAUGGACAUGACAGGGUGAAAUAUUGACAGAAUAAACAGGAAUUAAUAGA